GCCCAGGCGCCCAGCCAGCCGGCGGUUCUCUUCCACCGUUCGACCAGCCGCCAGCGUCCAGCGGCUUGCGGGCUGCGGCCCCGCCGUUCGCCCAGCGGCCCCGCCGUCGAGGCCAGGACUCAGGAGCCCAGGACCCAGCCACCGAGCGGCCUUUAAACCUCACAGAAAUAUUGGGUGAAGCAAAUGAGAAGGUUUUUUCAGCCACUUUCAAGAGGCUCUGGCACUAAUGCUAAUAAUAAUGUGAAUAACACACCAAUUGUUGGAGGGACGUUCAAUCCGGAUGACAUAGUUGCAGAUCCCGCUUUAAGGAGGCAAAUUUAUGAAUAUGAUAAAGAUGUCCAAGACCAAGUGAGAAGGGCAUAUGUUCUAAAUGGUCCAUGCCAACCAAAGGGUUUAGAUUUCCCUCGUAGACAGUAUGGACAAAGUUUAAGGCCUUUUAAAGAGGAAUGGUAUGACAAGUAUGAUUGGUUGGAGUAUAGUGAAUCAAAAGAUGCAGUGUAUUGCUUUUAUUGCUUUCUUUUUAAGCAAGCAGUGAAGGGUGAUAAAUAUGAAGCUUUCACUAAAGUUGGGUAUAAUAAUUGGAAAGAUGCAGUUGAAAGGUUGAAAUCACAUGUUGGUGGUGUUAACAGUAUCCACAACAAUGCUAGGUUACAUUUUGAUGAUUUUAACAACCAAAGACAAAGCAUAUCUACUAUCAUGUCUAGUGCCAGUCGUGAGGCUGAAGACCUUUAUAAAAUUCGUUUGACUUCUUCAUUGGCUUGUUCCAGAUUUCUUUUGAUGCAAGGUUUGGCUUUUCGUGGUCAUGAUGAAUCAUCUAGUUCGCUAAAUAAGGGAAAUUUUCUAGAAUUGAUUUAUUGGAUGAAAGAUAAAAUUAAAGAAGUGAGAGAUGCUUUUGAGCGUGCUCCAAGAAAUUGCAUUAUGAUAUCACCACAUAUUCAAAAAGAUCUUGCAAAGUGUUGUGCUCAACAGAUCACAGAGAACAUCCUAGGAGAAAUAGGAGAUAGAAACUUCUCUAUUCUUAUUGAUGAAUCACGUGAUGUUUCUGUUAAAGAACAAAUGGCGGUGAUAUUGAGAUAUGUGAAUAAUCAAGGCCAUGUGAUGGAACGGUUUCUUGCGCUCAAGCAUGUUAAGGAUACUACAUCAGAAGCCUUGAAGGAAGCUAUUUUUGGCCUUCUUGAUCACCAUGGAUUAUCUAUAUCCAAGAUCAGGGGGCAAGGAUUUCAUGGCGCAUCGAAUAUGCGAGGUGAAUUUAAUGGCUUACAAAGAAAGAUACUUGAUAUUAAUCCACAUGCCUAUUAUGUUCAUUGUUUUGCACAUCAACUUCAACUUGUGGUGGUUUCUAUUGCUAGUAGUGCUUGUUGCCAAUCAGUUCAUGACUUCUUUGAGUACAUCCACUUAAUUGUCACCACCACAAGCUCAUCUUGCAAGAGAAGGGAUGCUCUAAAAGAAAAACACCACCAGAAUAUUUUAGAAAAACUAGAAAGGGGUGAAAUUUUAUCUGGUAGAGGUGUGAAUCAAGAAACUAACCUUGCUAGACCUGGUGACACAAGAUGGGGUUCACAUUAUUUAACAUUGCUUCGAUUAGAGACAAUGUGGGACUCAGUAUUGCAUGUUCUUACCAUUGUGCAUGAAGAUGGUCGUGUACCAACACAGGCAGCAGGGUUGAUUGAAAAAAUGGAGAGCUUCAAAUUUGUUUUCAUUUUAAAAUUGAUGUUGAAAAUGCUUGCAAUCACAAAUGAGCUCUCUCAAACCUUGCAAAGGAAGAAUGCCAACAUUGUUCAUGCUAUGGAGUUGCUUGAUGUUGUGAAAACCCGAAUGGCUACAAUGAGGACAGAUAGUGGUUGGGAGUCAUUCUUUCAAAGCGUGAAAGAAUUCUGUGCUCAAAAGGGUAUUCCUGUGGUAGAUAUGGAUGAAGAAGUGCCUAUUAGAGGUCGUUCAAGGCGAGAUGGCUUCACAAUCACAAACCUUCACUACUACCGCACCGAGAUAUUCUUUGUUGUUCUUGAUAAAAUCAACACUGAGUUAUGCCAUCGCUUUAAUGAAGUUUCUAGCGAGUUGCUUGUUUGCUUUUCUUGCCUCGAUCCAAAGAACUUAUUUUUGCAGUUUUGAUAUAGAGAAACUUGUUCGGCUUGGUACUCUAUAUGAUAAGGAUUUUUCAGUUAUUGAAUGUGCAAUGUUAAGAGAGCAACUUGAGACAUACAUUGUCCACGUGCGAAGGCAUGCUGCUUUUGGUACUUGUGAAGAUAUUGCAUCUCUAUCUAUGAAGAUGGUUGAAACUAAAAAGCAUCUUGUGUUCCCUUUGGUUUUCAAGCUAAUUGAGUUGGCCUUGUUAUUACCCGUCUCAACAGCAAGUGUUGAGAGAAUAUUUUCGGCAAUGAACAUCAUUAAGAGAGAAUUGCGUAACAAAAUUGAAGAUGAUUGGAUGAAUGAUUUGAUGGUUUGCUAUACGGAGAAAGAGAUAUUCAAAUCCCUUGAUGAUGAGACUAUUACUAGAAGAUUCCAGCGUCUUAAAACUAGAAGAAUGCAAUUGCCUCGAGUCACAACUACAAGAUUGACAACUUAGUGAUUGGAUUUUUGUUGGUGAUUUUGGUGCCGCACUGCAGAUUAAGAGAGA